GUAACACGUAGUCAACCUACCCUAUGGACGAGAAUAAUCUCGGGAAACUGAGCAUAAUUCUUGAUAGAUCAUAAUGCCUGGAAUGGUUUAUGGUUAAAAUGAUUCGUCGCCAUAGGAUGGGACUGCGGCCUAUCAGCUUGUUGGUGAGGUAAUGGCCCACCAAGGCGAUUACAGGUACGGGCUCUGAGAGGAGAAGCCCGGAGAUGGGUACUGAGACACGGACCCAGGCCCUAUGGGGCGCAGCAGGCGAGAAAACUUUGCAAUGUGCGAAAGCACGACAAGGCUAAUCCGAGUGAUUUCUGCUAAAGAAAUCUUUUGCCAGUCGUAAAACCGCUGGUGAAUAAGGGGUGGGCAAGUUCUGGUGUCAGCCGCCGCGGUAAAACCAGCACCUCAAGUGGUCAGGAUGAUUAUUGGGCCUAAAGCAUCCGUAGCCGGCUUUGUAAGUUUUCGGUUAAAUCCAUGUGCUCAACGCAUGGGCUGCCGAAAAUACUGCAUAGCUAGGGAGUGGGAGAGGUAGACGGUACUCAGUAGGUAGGGGUAAAAUCCUUUGAUCUAUUGAUGACCACCUGUGGCGAAGGCGGUCUACCAGAACACGUUCGACGGUGAGGGAUGAAAGCUGGGGGAGCAAACCGGAUUAGAUACCCGGGUAGUCCCGGCUGUAAACGAUGCAGACUAGAUGAUGCAUUGGCAUAAUAGCCAUUGCAGUGUCUCAGGGAAGCCGUUAAGUCUGCCGCCUGGGAAGUACGUACGCAAGUAUGAAACUUAAAGGAAUUGGCGGGGGAGCACCACAAGGGGUGAAGCCUGCGGUCAAU
rnacentral:rRNA from 1 species